CGGUACCUACGGGACGCAGCAGUGAGGAAUAUUGGUCAAUGGGCGGGAGCCUGAACCAGCCAAGUCGCGUGAGGGAGGACGGUCCUAUGGAUUGUAAACCUCUUUAGGCGGGGAGCAAUGCCGGGCACGCGUGCCCGGAGGGAGAGUACCCGCAGAAUAAGCAUCUGCUAACUCCGUGCCAGCAGCCGCGGUAAUACGGAGGAUGCGAGCGUUAUCCGGAUUUAUUGGGUUUAAAGGGUGCGUAGGCGGAUUUUUAAGUCAGCGGUAAAAUGUCCGGGCUCAACCCGGGCCGGCCGUUG
rnacentral:rRNA from 1 species